CGUAACUCUCCCUGCCAUAGACACAGAACUAGGAGGAACGGGAAAUUUCAAAGGAUAUACCUUUGAAUUAACCUUAUGGGAGCGUUUGACCUCUUGCACGUUGGCUAACUACCAUGAAAAGAGCGAGCCCCAAGCAACCACUGGUGUCAGAACAAGAGACCUCAACCCGACCUGCCACUUGGAGGAGAGCCGCCUCAGCCAGCUCACACACCGAGCGAGUGCCGGCCGAAUCAAACCAGACCUUUUGAGAGAAGUCAUCUUCGUUGGCUUUGCAUAAAUACCCUUGUAUUCUCAGAAGUGGAUGCGAAGAUUCAAAGAAAAGAAUCUCUGUUAAAAUGCAUUUCUGAAAGCAUGUAUAAUUCACAACGUCUGCAUCAAGGAGCAUUUUUAUCACCUCAGCUUCUCUAA
rnacentral:lncRNA from 1 species